ACCUGAGUGGCUCAGUCAGUUAAGCGUCAGACUUCAGCUCUGGUCACGAUCUCGUGGUUCAUGGGUUCGAGUCCUACCUUGGGCU
rnacentral:tRNA from 1 species